AGCAGUAGCCACGGUAAUACGUAGGGUGCAAGCGUUGUCCGGAAUUAUUGGGCGUAAAGAGCUCGUAGGCGGUUUGUCGCGUCUGCUGUGAAAUCCCGAGGCUCAACCUCGGGCUUGCAGUGGGUACGGGCAGACUAGAGUGCGGUAGGGGAGAUUGGAAUUCCUGGUGUAGCGGUGGAAUGCGCAGAUAUCAGGAGGAACACCGAUGGCGAAGGCAGGUCUCUGGGCCGUAACUGACGCUGAGGAGCGAAAGCGUGGGGAGCAAACAGGAUUAGAUACCCGAGUAGUCCCUGUCUCUUAUAC
rnacentral:rRNA from 1 species